CACUUUUAGCUUUUUAUUUAGAGGGUAUGCAAGAGAAUACUUCUGUUUUCCUUGGACUUACUCCUGGGAAUGUAGAAGUGAUUUUCAUGUGUAAAAUAAACAUGCUCGGCAUACAAUCAUAACGUGGUAACACAUUUGCUAUUUCCUAUCCUCUGUUUACAUCAAAAGAGGAUAAAGAAAUCUGAGACUGGCUCGACCUCACUCGUAAGUCACCCUAGGAACCCCAAAAUAAUCUGGUAAGGAGCUGAAUGCAGGGCUUAUCAGUGAUCUGUAAAAGUUGUCGAGCCAAUAGAUAUCAACAUGGAUGAAAAGUUAUGGGCCCUACAAGAUUUAUCCUUUAUUGAGCCGUCGGCAAAAGUGGAGCUGAAAAGAGAAUAAGUCUGCUUUUUCAUAUGCUAAAUCCAGUGGAAAUGUUGUCUGGAAAUCCUAGAGGUAAUCAAGGAGAUUUCUUGUAUUUUUGCUAGCUGGAAAGAGAAGGCAGACAAAAAAAUCUCUUCUAAUGAUAGGGCCAAUCGCAUAGUGUCCACGAAGACAUAGCAUUAGCUCCACAUCUACGUUAGAAUGCUCAUGGCUUCUCCUACAUUUCAAGUCCAUAUUCUACUUCUAUUUAGUGUUCAAAAGAGCAAUCCUUUACAAAUGUAUUUUAUGACUGCAUUUCCCAUGAUUCCAAGCUGAUUCUAGUAUGAUUUCCUUUCAGGAUUGUUACGUGUAGUUUUCUCUAGUUUAUUAUAUUCAAACAGAAAACUAAGCAACACUGAGACUGGACAUUUUUACAGUAUAGUCUUCAUAAUCAAGGGUAAAGGAAUAGAAAGCUCAAAGGUGUUAAGUAGUUCAUGCAGACCUUUGGUGCAAGAUGUUUUUGACAAACCAAUAGCUGUCGCAUUCAACCCUCUAAUGCUAGUUACCUAUUCUAAAAGCAAGCAUACACAUUGAUUUUCUAUUGUUAAUUUUGUUUCUUUUAUUUUUGUAUCUAUAUUGUCUUCAUGAAUUUUUUUAUAAAAAAGAAAAACAGAAUAUAAAAAGUGUUUAAGACAAA